CGCAGCUCUCACUAACUCCUCCAGGGCCUGCACAGAUGUGGUGUCUGUCCCCAGCAAGUGCUUCUCCAGAGAGCAUAGCCAAAGCUGGUGAAUGGCAGAACCAACAUUCUACAUGCCUGGAGCUCACAGAGUAGCCCGGAUGGAUCGCAGUGCAUUAGAAUGGUCAUUGAGUGGAUCUCCUCCAGGUGAGCAUUCAGGGAUCCAGGAUCCUUCCACUUGGUGGCUAUACAGUCCCC